rnacentral:SRP_RNA from 2 species
GCCAGGCACAGUGGCACAUGCCUGUGGGCCCAGUAACUCUGGAGGCUGAGAUGGGAUGAUCGCUUGAGCCCGGGAGUUCUCGCCUGUAGUGUACUGUACCCACUGGGUGUCCAGGCAAAGUCCAGCACCAAUAUGGUGACCUCCUGGGAGCGGGGGACCACCAGGGUGCCUAAGGAGGGGUGAACCAGGACAGGUCGGAAAUGAAGCAUGUCAAAAGUCCCGCGCUGAUCAGCAGUGGGAUUGCUCCUGUACACAGCCACUGCACUCCAGCCCGGGUAACACAGCGAGACCCGUCUCUU